GACGAACGCUGGCGGCGUGCCUAAUACAUGCAAGUAGAACGCUGAAGGAGUAGCUUUCUUCUCUGGAUGAGUUGCGAACGGGUGAGUAACGCGUAGGUAACCUGCCUGGUAGCGGGGGAUAACUAUUGGAAACUAUAGCUAAUACCGCAUAAGAGUAGCUGUUGCAUGACAUUUGCUUAAAAGGUGCAAUUGCAUCACUACCAGAUGGACCUUCGUUGUAUUAGCUAGUUGGUGAGGUAACGGCUCACCAAGGCGACGAUACAUACCCGACCUGGGAGGGUGAUCGGCCACACUGGGACUGAGACACGGCCCAGACUCCUACGGGAGGCAGCAGUAGGGAAUCUGCGGCAAUGGACGGAAGUCUGACCGAGAAAGGCCGCGUGAGUGAAGAAGGUUUUCGGAUCGUAAAGCUCUGUUGUAAGGGAAGAACGAGUGUGAGAGUGGAAAGUUCACACUGUGACGGUAUCUUACCAGAAAGGGACGGCUAACUACGUG
rnacentral:rRNA from 1 species